AAUGAACGUUGGCGGCGUGGAUUAGGCAUGCAAGUCGAGCGAGGAAAGUUGUAGCAAUACGGCUUAUUCGAGCGGCGUAAGGGGCAGUAAUACCUGGGAACGUACCCUGAGGUCGGGGAUAGCUGCUGGAAACGGCGAGUAAUACCCGAUGAUCUCGAGAGAGCAAAGGCUUGCCGCCUUCGGAGCGGCCCAGGCGAUAUUAGCUAGUUGGUGGGGUAACGGCCUACCAAGGCGUAGAUGUCUAGCGGGUGUGAGAGCACGACCCGCGCCACUGGCACUGAGACACUGGCCAGACACCUACGGGUGGCUGCAGUCGAGAAUCUUCGGCAAUGAGCGCAAGCUUGACCGAGCGACGCCGCGUGCGGGAUGAAGGCCUUCGGGUUGUAAACCGCUUUGGUCCGAGAGAAUGGGCAACUUGAUCGAUCGGAGAAACAAGGACGGGCUAAGUUCGUGCCAGCAGCCGCGGUAAGACGAACCGUCCAAACGUUAUUCGGAAUCACUGGGCUUAAAGGGCGCGUAGGCGGCCGAGCGGGUCGUGGGUGAAAUCCCCCAGCUUAACUGGGGAACUGCCCUUGAUACCACUGCGGCUCGAGGAAGGAAGGGGCAAUUGGAACUGUCGGUGGAGCGGUGAAAUGCGUUGAUAUCGACAGGAACGCCGGUGGCGAAAGCGAAUUGCUGGUCCUUUUCUGACGCUGAGGCGCGAAAGCCAGGGGAGCAAACGGGAUUAGAUACCCCGGUAGUCCUGGCCUU
rnacentral:rRNA from 1 species